UACGGAGGGUGCAAGCGUUACCCGGAAUCACUGGGCGUAAAGGGCGUGUAGGCGGAUCACUCAGUCUGGUUUUAAAGACCGGGGCUCAACCCCGGGCAUGGACUGGAUACUGGUGAUCUUGACCUCUGGAGAGGUAGCUGGAAUUCCUGGUGUAGCGGUGGAAUGCGUAGAUACCAGGAGGAACACCAAUGGCGAAGGCAGGCUACUGGACAGAAGGGUGGACGC
rnacentral:rRNA from 1 species